GGUAUAGCCAAGUGGUAGGGCACAGGUCUGCAAAACCUUGAGCAUCGGUUCAAACCCGAUUAC
rnacentral:tRNA from 1 species